UCAGGCCUAACACAUGCAAGUCGAACGGCAGCGCGGGUGCUUGCACCUGGCGGCGAGUGGCGAACGGGUGAGUAAUACAUCGGAACGUGCCCUAGAGUGGGGGAUAACUAGUCGAAAGAUUAGCUAAUACCGCAUACGAUCUACGGAUGAAAGUGGGGGACCGCAAGGCCUCAUGCUCCUGGAGCGGCCGAUGUCUGAUUAGCUAGUUGGUGGGGUAAAAGCCUACCAAGGCGACGAUCAGUAGCUGGUCUGAGAGGACGACCAGCCACACCGGGACUGAGACACGGCCCAGACUCCUACGGGAGGCAGCAGUGGGGAAUUUUGGACAAUGGGGGCAACCCUGAUCCAGCAAAGCCGCGUGUGUGAAGAAGGCCUUCGGGUUGAAAUUAAAUGGUCAGGAACGAAACGGUGGGGGCUAAUAUCCCCUG
rnacentral:rRNA from 1 species